AGAAGCAAAAUUUGCACGCCCGACGUCAUUUGAUGACGUGUUUGAGACUUGGAUUGCAGAUAGUAAGUUUAAACUAUGGCGUUGUUGCCUCUGUAACAAAUUACCUAAAAUAGUGCAGAAGAAAAACCCUAGCAAUUGGACCAGUGAAGGAGCUCCGAUCAAGAAUACUAUUGUGCACUCAUCUUUCAACUUAAGGCUUGAGAGGCAAACAAUGGUAAACGCGCAGCAAACAAUGGUAAAUGCGCAGUGAACUGUGGGGAUAUAUAUAGGGAGAGACGAGAGAGAAAUUUAUUUAAUUUUUUUUUUCCAAAUUUUACAGCAAAAUAGGGAUUAUGCAAAGUUUAUUUAUCUUUCAGUUUUGAGAAAAAUAAAAGUCUCCCUUACUUUCACCGUUUUGAUGCUUUAUCUAUAUUUUUGUUCUUUUUCAUAUUUGAGUUCUGGAAAUUAUUAUAA